ACGUGAAACCUUGUGGGAAGCAGGGAGGACCACCUCCCAAGGCUAAAUACUACCUGAUGACCGAUAGUGAAGCAGUACCGUGAGGGAAAGGUGAAAAGAACCCCGGGAGGGGAGUGAAAUAGAACCUGAAACCGUGUGCCUACAACCGCUCAGAGCCCCUUAUGAGGGUGAUGAGGUGCUUUUUGUAGAACGAGCCAACGAGUUACGGUAUGUAGCAAGGUUAAGUACUUAAGGUACGGAGCCGAAGGGAAACCGAGUCUGAAUAGGGCGACUAGUUGCAUGCCGUAGACCCGAAACCGGGUGACCUAUCCAUGGCCAGGUUGAAGCGAGGGUAAAACCUCGUGGAGGACCGAACCACGUUGCUGUUGAAAAAGCAUGGGAUGAGCUGUGGAUAGCGGAGAAAUUCCAAUCGAACCCGGAGAUAGCUGGUUCUCUCCGAAAUAGCUUUAGGGCUAGCGUCGAGUAUGAGUAGUGGAGGUAGAGCACUGAAUGGGCUAGGGGGCAUAGCGCUUACCGAACCUUAUCAAACUCCGAAUGCCACAUACUUUGAGCUCGGCAGUCAGACUACGAAUGAUAAGAUCCGUGGUCAAAAGGGAAACAGCCCAGAUCGUCAGCUAAGGUCCCAAAGUGUAAGUUAAGUGGGAAAGGAUGUGAGAUUUCUAAGACAACUAGGAUGUUGGCUUAGAAGCAGCCAUUCAUUAAAAGAGUGCGUAAUAGCUCACUAGUCGAGAGAUCUUGCGCCGAAAAUGUAACGGGGCUAAACUUACCACCGAAGCUACGGGCUUGAACUUAGUUCAAGCGGUAGGAGAGCGUCGUAACCGGGCUGAAGUCGUACCGUAAGGAGCGGUGGACUGGUUACGAGUGAGAAUGUUGGCAUCAGUAGCGAGAUGUGGGUGAGAAUCCCACAGGCCGAAAACCUAAGGUUUCCUCAGGAAGGUUCGUCCGCUGAGGGUUAGUCGGGACCUAAGCCGAGGCCGAAAGGCGUAGGUGAUGGACAACUGGUUGAUAUUCCAGUACCACUACCAUCGUUAUUAUCGAUGGCGUGACGCAGGAGGAUAGUGUGUGCUAGCUAUUGGAUGCUAGUCUAAGCGUUUAGGCAGUGAGAGUAGGCAAAUCCGCUCUCAUAAUGCUGAGGCGUG
rnacentral:rRNA from 1 species